CAGUCGCCGCGGGAAUACGAAGGGGGCUAGCGUUGCUCGGAUUUACUGGGCGUAAAGGGCGCGUAGGCGGACAGUUAAGUUGGGGGUGAAAGCCCGGGGCUCAACCUCGGAAUUGCCUUCAAUACUGGCUGUCUUGAGUGUGAGAGAGGUGUGUGGAACUCCGAGUGUAGAGGUGAAAUUCGUAGAUAUUCGGAAGAACACCAGUGGCGAAGGCGACACACUGACUCACUACUGACGCUGAGGCGCGAAAGCGUGGGGAGCAAACAGGAUUAGAUACCCCGGUAGUCCCUGUCUCUUAUAA
rnacentral:rRNA from 1 species